rnacentral:hammerhead_ribozyme from 1 species
AUCCAGCUGAUGAGCCCCAAAUAGGACUAAAUGAGCGUCGAACUGGAU